rnacentral:lncRNA from 1 species
GCGCCCGGCCGGCGUGGCUGGCUGUUUGAGGACUGCGCGCGGAGCUCCGUGGCGGGUGUCUGAAGUCGUGAGUUUACUGCUUGUAAGGAACAUAGCGAUCACUGGGAACCUGGAAGUAGAGACUCCUUUCUGCCAUCCAUCCGUCCCUCGGGCUGCUGCGAAUCCCCCCGCCGGCCUCCAGGACCCCGGGCUGACUGAACGCCCGCACCGGUCCCGCCGCCCCAGGGCCCGCUACGCGCCCGGCAUAAUGGGAGAAAAAUCACGACGGAAAGGCCCAGCCCCUCGCCAUGCAGACGGGAAGCUUGGCCGCACGUGUGAUCACCCUUACGCCCCUUGGAGUUUCACCCCCUCUUCGCGGGCUCCAACAGCCUGGGUCAGGCCUCCUUGUCCUGUGUGGGCCUCUCGGCUGCAAGAACACAGUCCCGAGCCCCGGCGAGCCCGCGCGCCUCCCACCCGCCGUGCACAGGCUGCACUUUACGCCCCAGCACUGCGCCUGCGGGACCAUCUGGAUCGCUUUUCCAUUCUGAUGACGUCCUGUACUUCGUGGCUGCAGGCUCCUCAAGCCCCAGGUCUGUGCAGAGACGAGCAAAGCAGCAGAAUAUCCGUGCCACAGCUUUCUGGAGCACCCAUUUUACUACCAGAUUUGGAAGGAACGAAGUUAAGUAAUUUCCAAGAAUCAUCUCCCCUGCCCCACAAACAUGAAAGAAAAGACAAGAGAAGCACCCCAGAAGAGGAGGGGAGAAGUGCCCCAGAAAAAAUCAUCCAGUCUCUGAAGCUUUGCCCAGGAUCCAUUGCUGCAGCUUCCUGAAGUUGUGUCCGUUAAAAGGCAGGGACCCGGUGUCCAGGCUACAGAGGGUGACUCCAGGUUCCACACCACCACUGUGGACCAGUGUGCCUAUGGACUUAGGAGAGUUCCCAGAUCGCACAAGGGGGCUGCCCCAGAGGGUGUUCAGCUUGUUGCCAACAGUUGCUGAAGCCAAAGUCUGCAACCUUGAUGUUCAGGUCAAGUAGCCAGAAACAGGUGUUCUGGCUUUAGGUCCCUGUGGACAAUGCCAUUCUCUCCUUCCCAGGCUACUGAUGUCCUGGGUUGCUCCUCUUAUGGUAGAAGCUCAAGAUGGAAUGGCUGGAGCUUGGCUGCCUCCGGUUAGAGCCUGGGCUCUGUAUUGCAGACAUCACCUGGCAGAAUUCCUCAUGGGCCCCUUUUGUCGUGGGUGCGACUGCUGGGCCAGGGUUGUCGUGGGUAGUAAAGGUAUUUACCAAGACAACCGUGAGUAAAGAAAGGCAAAUUUAUUACAGAAACUAUGAAAAUACAUUGCAAGAAUGCAACAUGCAGCACAGCAGAGAAGGGGCUGUCUGCAAAGAUAAAGGGCUGGAGGGAAGUUUUCUAAGGUUGUGCUGGACGGCGCUAUGUGCAGGUGAGCUUGUGCUAUAUGCUAAGAAUAUGUUGGAAUAAUUUUAACUGCCAGACCUUUCCUCUUCUGGUGCCCGAGGGAAACGCCCUGCUGCUUUUAGCUGUCUUGUAACCCACACGCCUUUUCACUUCUGAAGUUGCAAGAAUAACGGCUGUGGUUUUUCACACAAAAGGGUUGCAGACUGGGUUAGGUCCCUGUUCCGCCAACCUGGCUGUUUCCCAGUUUCAGUUAACUUAGUGGUUUACUAGAGCCCCACACCUUUCUCUUUCAUAUGGCCAUGAUCCAGGAGGUAAUCCGUCACCUCCCCUCCACUAGAGUGCUCCAUGGCCAGGGAUAAUCCGUCACCUCCCCUCCACCAGAGUGCUCCAUGGCCAGGGGUAAUCCUCACCUCUCCUCCGCUAGAGUGUUCCAUGGCCAGGCAGUGUUUCCUGGGUCCAGAGCACCUCAAACAAUUUCAGUGUUGUGGUGACUCAGGGCCUUCACCAUACAGACUUGACAGCAUAGUCUAGAGGCUGGAGGGGCUCUGUGACUCCCAUUAAUGACAGUCACUGCCACGGUUUCCCCAGGCAGGAUGUGCCAGGAGAACUGCUCCAUGUUGGCUCAGCAGAAUGUUAUUAUAGGUAGCUCAAAAAGAGAGGGAACAGGGCUUCUCUAGAUUAUUUCAGGGAACGAGCUAUUAUUUGAAUGUUAAUUUAAGACUAUUUUAUCAAUUAAAAAUGUAAGGCCCAAGAAACUUCAGUGAGGAAGAAUGAACAAAUUGAAUAAAUACUGUUAAACUUUA